AUAGAGUUGGCAGAAAUGAUGCAAAUAGUUUAGGUCUAUUAGAUAAGAUAAUAAUUCUUACUUUAUA
rnacentral:tRNA from 1 species